ensembl:lncRNA
UUUCCCUUUCCUGUUCGCUCCUGGAUUAGCUGCUGGAUUAGCUCUUCGAUUAACAAUUUGCUGGAGGCUAUUCAAAUUAGCCACACCGUGGGAUGUAAGGAGCUCUCUGAUUGGUUGGUCGGACACAGGCUGUCUGCCAGCCUGGAUUUUUCUAGCUCAUAGCUUCUCCCUGCUAGGAAGCGUGUGUGCUUGUACAAAGGCCGUUCAGCGUCGGGAUUUACACUCGGCUCGACACGGAUAAGUGAAGAAUGAAGGGACCCUGCAGCGAAACGGAGAGCCAACCUCUGACUGAAUGCCUGUCUACACAUUCUGACCACCUGUUGAAGGGCUGUUUGAUGACGAUUUGGACUCCUCUGGGAGAUGAGGACACACCCACAUCUGUUCCAUACUGCAGCCAUUGAUGGUGUUACAGCUCUGAGUCAGCUUUGGGCCAUCAGACGCACACACUGGAAAACCAGCACCUGGACUUCAUGCAGGAGAGACGGCCUCAGUGAUAUAGAAUUCAUCAGCAGCUGUGGAGAGAUGCAUUUGAAUAUCUUCUGGUUCCACUUUUCCUUACCUGGAAGCUGAGUAUUGCUGAUUUCUGACAAGGACACACCUCAGCGCUUAUCAUGGGUGUUACAUCCUCUGCGCAGCAAUUCCAGAGAAAACGAGAGAGCAACGACCACUCAUUAAGACCAGCCAGAAAUCUGUCCCUUUCUGGCAGCUGUGGAAACUUCCAAUAAGAAAGUUUGCAUUCUUAGAACAAUGCUGGGUCAUGUGUGAUGUGUCAUCAUAUGAGGAUAUUACAUUUUGCCUUAAUUCUGCUCAAUUAAGUGUUUUGAUCGUUGAUCCAGUAUGGCAGCUUUGUGUUGUGCUGCAAGUUAAAACCCAUUGUCCUCAUGAGCACAGCAUCUAACAACUCUCCUUAAAAAAAGUCGAUUGACUUUAACUGGACACAAUGGUUUCCAGUGGGAGAAACAUUCAUCACUCAUCCGUGACACUGGAGAAGUCACCUGGAUGAGUGAUAAAACAAUUUUCCAUGGAAAAUCCAGAGGAACUAAACUUUGUUGUUUCUUUGGGCUCAAUUUUGCCUGAGGCUGAAAUUGAGCCCAAAAUGUUUUCUUCUUUCAGAAUGUUUUCUUCUUUCAGAAGAAAACAUUUUGCCAAUAAUCAGAUAAAAAGAUUGUUGAACCAGGUGGUAUUCUCUGGAGUUUAAGACCAAAACUGAACUCAGUGAAUUGACAUUAGACUGGAAUUCAUAAGAUGAAUAGAAAUACUGCUGAAGCUGAAUGAUAUGUGUGUGUGAUCUUUGUUUUCUCCAAUUCACCAGGUCUGUAAAGUUCAGUAUGACUGUGGUACAUGAUACAAAAGAAUAAAUACAGAAGAAUAACAACUUUAUGUGAAUAACUUUACUCUUCUUAAAAAUAACUCAUAAAACAAGUAAAAGUACAAAUGUGUACAAGUUAGAGACUUCCUCAGUAAGUUUACACUCUUUUGGAGUGAUUUUAAUUGUGUGUUAAAGAAGAAAGAGAUUAGAGGUAAAGUAGAGGAUGCAGAGUCAAUCAUCACUGAGGUCAUCUCUCCUGCAUGAAGUCCAGGUGCUGGUUUUCCAGUGUGUGCGUCUGAUGGCCCAAAGCUGACUCAGAGCUGUAACACCAUCAAUGGCUGCAGUAUGGAACAGAUGUGGGUGUGUCCUCAUCUCCCAGAGGAGUCCAAAUCGUCAUCAAACAGCCCUACAGACACAAAAACAUGUGAAAAUAUAAACAACCAGACUAUCA